UAGGGAAUCUUCCACAAUGGACGCAAGUCUGAUGGAGCAACGCCGCGUGAGUGAAGAAGGGUUUCGGCUCGUAAAGCUCUGUUGUUAAAGAAGAACGUUGGGUAAGAGUAACUGUUUACCCAGUGACGGUAUUUAACCAGAAAGCCACGGCUAACUACGUCAC
rnacentral:rRNA from 1 species